rnacentral:rRNA from 1 species
AUUGAACGCUGGCGGCAUGCUUUACACAUGCCAGUCGAACGGCAGCGCGGGCUUCGGCCUGGCGGCGAGUGGCGAACGGGUGAGUAAUACAUCGGAACGUGCCCAGUAGUGGGGGAUAGCUCGGCGAAAGCCGGAUUAAUACCGCAUACGACCUGAGGGUGAAAGCGGGGGAUCUUCGGACCUCGCGCUAUUGGCGCGGCCGAUGGCAGAUUAGCUAGUUGGUGGGGUAAAGGCCUACCAAGGCGACGAUCUGUAGCUGGUCUGAGAGGACGACCAGCCACACUGGGACUGAGACACGGCCCAGACUCCUACGGGAGGCAGCAGUGGGGAAUUUUGGACAAUGGGCGAAAGCCUGAUCCAGCAAUGCCGCGUGUGUGACGAAGGCCUUCGGGUUGUAAAGCACUUUUGGCGGGAACGAAAAGGACUGUGCCAAUACCACGGUUCGAUGACGGUACCCGCAGAAUAAGCACCGGCUAACUACGUG